AACGAACGCUGGCGGCGCGCUUAACACAUGCAAGUCGAACGAGAAGGCGUAGCAAUACGCUUGUACAGGGGCGAACGGGUGAAGAAUACAUGGGUGACCUACCCUCGAGUGGGGAAUAACCAACCGAAAGGUUGGCUAAUGCCGCGUACGCUUCUCUUCUUACGGGGAGGGAAGGAAAGCUGUACCGUGGGUACGGCGCUCAAGGAUGGGCUCAUGUCCUAUCAGCUUGUUGGUAGGGUAACGGCCACCAAGGCAACGACGGGUAGCUGGUCUGAGAGGACGACCAGUCACACUGGAACUGAGACACGGUCCAGACACCUACGGGUGGCAGCAGUCGAGAAUUUUUCUCAAUGGGGGAAACCCUGAAGGAGCGACGCCGCGUGGAGGAUGAAGGCUUUCGGGUUGU
rnacentral:rRNA from 1 species